rnacentral:misc_RNA from 1 species
AUCAAGACUUUGAGAUGGCCCACUUCUGUUGAAGCUCCACCCAAGAAUGUAAUGGUAGCUUGCCAUUGAUCCAGUGGAUGAAGAGAAACCAACAUACAUAGAAUCCAAGAGGACUAGAGAAAGAUCAAUAUUUGUUGACAAUAGAGGCUUUCCUGGUUUCUUGCUUAUUACAGGAGCUACUGUUACAUUGAGAAGCUUCUCCACGUCAUCAUAAUCUAUCCACACCUGCAUUGGAUUUCCAC